rnacentral:rRNA from 1 species
UACGUAGGGGGCUAGCGUUGUCCGGAAUCAUUGGGCGUAAAGAGCGUGUAGGCGGCCCGGUAAGUCCGCUGUAAAAGUCAAAGGCUCAACCUUUGAAUGUCAGUGGAUACUGCCGGGCUAGAGUCCGGAAGAGGCGAGUGGAACUCCUGGUGUAGCGGUGGAAUGUGCAGAUAUCAGGAAGAACACCAACGGCGAAGGCAGCUCGCUAGGACGGUACUGACGCUGAGACGCGAAAGCGUGGGGAGCGAACAGG